rnacentral:tRNA from 1 species
GUGGUGGUAGCAUAGUGGUUAAGUAGCUGGGCUAGUGUGCAGUAGCCUGAAAAGUUGUGGGUUCAAUUCCCGGCUUCCACC